UACGUAGGGUGCAAGCGUUAAUCGGAAUUACUGGGCGUAAAGCGUGCGCAGGCGGUUGUGUAAAACAGAUGUGAAAUCCCCGGGCUCAACCUGGGAACUGCAUUUGUGACUGCACGGCUGGAGUGCGGCAGAGGGGGAUGGAAUUCCGCGUGUAGCAGUGAAAUGCGUAGAUAUGCGGAGGAACACCGAUGGCGAAGGCAAUCCCCUGGGCCUGCACUGACGCUCAUGCACGAAAGCGUGGGGAGCAAACAGG
rnacentral:rRNA from 1 species